UUUCCGUAGGUGAACCUGCGGAAGGAUCAUUAUCGAAUUUCGAGGGGAAGGAAGAUGAGGAGUGGAGACUGUCGCGGGCUUUCCCGCCUGGGAAGCAUGUGCACGCCUUGCUUUUCGUUGACCGUUCUCUUACUCCCACACCUGUGCACCAAUUGUAGGUCCUCGAAAGAGGAUCUAUGUUUUUAUCAGCACACGCAUCGUAUGUCCAUAGAAUGUAACAUGAUCGUCGAUCGACCUCGCGGUCUGUUGGCGGUCUAAAUAAAUAAAUACAACUUUCAGCAACGGAUCUCUUGGCUCUC
rnacentral:misc_RNA from 1 species